AGAGAGAAGUGGGGCUCACCUGGGGCUCAUGUUUUACCCAAAGGUAGGACUUGAGCUCACCCGACAUGGUACUCAAACUCGCGAACUGUGAGCUCAUGACCUGAGCCAAAGUCAGACACUUAACGACUGAGCUACCCAGGUGCCCU